UCUGAUUUCUCUUUCUUCUUUUAUAGACACUUGGGUUUGGCCUCAUGUAGCAGUAAUCUUGCCCGAAUGCAGCUUGAAGGGUAAUGACUCAUCAGCUAUUUACUUGUACUGCCACUGUAAAGUGCUUUUGAGCUGAUUAGCUGGCUGGUCUAUACCAUUUGGUCUCUAGGCAGGUGAGCAAGUGGUGCAAAUGAUCUGCACCUAGUCGGGAAAUGCCUUUUAUGCCUUCUGGGCUUUGGCUGGGCUUCGGACUUUUCCCAUUUUCAGACCUACUUUGGGCCAACUCCUUCUUGAGCCCAAAGUUCAAAUUAUAACCCAAACAGUGCCCCCUUCAAUCAAUUUUCAGACUGGAAUUCCAGGCGCCAAUAUUGAUUGAAAAGCUUCCCAUUAAUACCCACGUCUCUCUCUCCCGGGAUUCGCACAUUUUUCAAAGAUAAUCAUCAUUUUCCUGCGGUCAUUCCAUUAACUCACGAACCUUUUGCAUUCUUAGCACGAAAUUCCUCUGUAAUUGAAAAUUUCCUAACUUCCCAGUCAUUUUACUUUUCUAAAUCUUUUAACUCUCUUAUGUUCUCUGCCCGACCUCUUCUACCCUUGUUGUCUUCCUUGCCGUUCCUCUUCCAAACUUUAUCAAAUGGCUUCAGGAUCCAGCCAAAUCCAUCUAUCCUAUGAAUCUGGCGAAGGCACCGCCACUUUGCUCCGUUUACUCAACGGACUGCAUCGUCCUAAAGCAGGUUUAUAUUCUGAGCUUUUCUUUGAAGUGCAUGGGGUACAAUCGUUGGGUCCCGCAUGGAUUUCCCGGGUCCCUGCAAUGAUAUAGGACAAUAUGCCCAGGGACAAUUAGUUUUCCCCAAAUCCCUUUUUGGCUAAGUCGAGCAUUUCUUCAUCCAAGUGUUGUCAUAUCGUCGAGGCUUUCCUUUGAUGAACGAUCCAGCUUGGGCUCAGUGGGUUGAUGAACUAGAGCUAAUUUUUAAGAAGAAAUGGAUGAAUAACGGCAUUUAUGAAUUGAUAAUGCUCUCAAAAACUACCAUUAUUCCCCAGCCCGAACUACUUGCUUAUUCUCUUCUUUUCUAGAAUUCGGGCACAAACACUUUUGACUUCCGUAUGGGUCCCAUGUCUCCGACUGUUCUUAAUAUGGCCCAAGUCUUUGGGCUAAGGCCAUCAGGCAGGAUAGUGGAUGUUACUCAAGACUGGGCUCCCCCCUCAAUUGUUGAAAGCUUAGGUUCAUCCGCCUCUUUCCUUUCCUUGGAAUAUAAUGCUGCAACCUUCAAGAGUUACGGGACUUCCUUCAAGGGAUUCAUCCCUUUCGUAAAGGAGAAUUUUGGAGCAGAUUCUUCUCAUGUUGAUAAAGAUCAAGAGCACAUGUAUUUCCUCUUAUACUGGCUCAACAAACAUGUAUUCCCCAAUAAGUCUAAAGGAGUAAAGGUUGAAUGGAUCCCCUUGGUGGAAGCUCUUCAUAACUUUGAUGAUGUAGCUACAGGCUUUCUCAUCUUUCACUUAAAUCAUACCCCAGUUCGGACGAACUUGAAAAUUGGAAGGAGAUGAUCUAGGAAAAGAAUCGGUUACUUCUGAUAGGUAUUUCCUCUUCAUAUCUUGAUUCUAUAUCCCUUUUAAAGCCCUUUAAAUUUUACCUUGCUUGAUCCUGCAGCCCAAAUGGAUGUUGAAUCGGUACCCAUGGAGUCCGAUGAUGACUUAGCUGAUACAGCAGUUCUUAAUGAAGCUGCGGCAGAGGCUGAAAGACGAGAAGCUGGAGAAGGUAGGGAUGUUUCCGAAGAUUCAGGGGCUGAAAAAGAAGCGCAUGAAGUCACCACCCAAGUGUCUAAACAAAGGAAAGCAGUUGUGAUCGAAACCUCAGAUUCUGAUCCUGCAUCCCCACCCAAGACUAAAUGACCAAUUCCUACUAGAAAGAGUAAAAGAACAAAAACCGUCCAAACUCUUAAGUCUUCAGCCUCAUCUGCUCCAGUUUCUAAGGCAGACAGAAAGAAGCAAAAAUCUUCAAGUGAGUUUUUGUUCUUCUUUAUCAGAUUGCCACCCUUCUUCUUUAUCAAAUUACCCUUGUUUUCCUUGAAAACAAGACCUCAAGCAUCUAAGAAACCAACCAUUGCUUCUAAUGAGGAACCAUUAGGAGCUAAAAUUCACAAAAAGGCUGAAGAAUUGUGAAAUAUCACCCUCAAAGAACUUGAGGUAUAGUUUAUGUUUAUGUCUGCAUAAUCUUUCCUGCUUCUACAAAACCAUGAGCAUGAUUACAUGAGUCAGGCUGCAAGAGAGGAAAAGCUCCGUUCGCCAGAGGUCUCUUCUCCACUUACUCGAGAAACAAGCCUCUCUCCUCCCCAGAUUAAUCCUUUAGAGGUCGGGGUAUCUGUCCCCUUGCCUAGUCAAGGUUCUCCUUUGAAGUCUUUGAUUUCUCCUUCUGCCCUGAAGGCAACUCUAUCUUCUCAAUUUGAUCCAUCCACAGGAGUUAUGUUGCACUUUGUGGAUAAGGACAGUAAGUUGCCUUCUCCAUUAUAUGAACCACCCCAACCGUCAGUGGCAAUAUGUGAUGAACCUAUAGUCCCUAAGAUUCCUGUGACCUCAGGGGUAGCGGUUUUGUAGGUGUUUGCUUGCCCGACGGUUACCAUUGAUGAACCUCCUUCUUCUCGGAGUCAAACUCAGGGCAUUGGCGAAAGUUUAGGCGCAGUUUUUUCCUCCCCUAUUAGUGGUAGAGAGUCUUCCCCUCAACCAGGAAUUGGUACUCUUCCUUGUGAAGCCCCAGGGCUUAUUCAGCAAGUUCUGGAAUAAGCCUCUCCUCCUCGCUUGGUUCGUAAAUCAAAGCUCCCCUGACCCCAUUCAACUUUUGGAAGUGCCGGGAUUUCCCAUCCUGGAAUUGAGAAGACCGGGAAGACAGAAACUGCCCCAUCAGUAGGUACUACUUCAUUAGAGGAAACUGGAGUGUGAAAUCCUCCUCCUGCUUCUUUAUUUUCAAAAACUGCUAAGUUGCCCGAACUUUUUGAAGAAUUCGGGCAACUUGAGAUAAGGCUUAAAUCUUUAAAGCAUUCUGCCGUAUCUUCCGGUCUUCGAGAGCAGCAACAAGCUUUCCAAGAAUGGGCUAGGAAGGACUUCUCAGCUUCAUUCAGCCUCAAGGCUCUUCAUGAUAUAGAGAAGGUUACAAUGGACGUGUUCAAAGCCGGUUAGCUAUCCAAAACUCAACAUGAUUAAUUUCUCUCCUUCUUCGAGAACCUGAGGGCUCUCCGGGAUCAACAUAAGAAAGCUGAAAGACAAGCCAAUCGUGUAAGAUGUUUCCAGGAGAAAGAAUCGAGUACUUCUGCUCAGGUUGAAAGGUUGAUGGAUGAUGGUUUGCUGACAAAAGAAAGGAUCGGAGUGGUGACUUCUGAAAUCCAGAAGCUAGAGGAACAACUAGUUGUUCUUAAAGCUGAACAAGCAACUCUUCUUGGCACCCUCAAAAACCAAAUUGAAGAAGUGAAGAAGUCAGACUCGGAAUUAGAGCAUACCAGGUCUCAACUUGCAAAUAGCCAUACUAUUUUGGCCGAACCUAGUAGGAUUUUUGCCAUCGUGCAGACAUAUCAAUCUCGAAUAAUCAUCCUGAGUAAAGAUGUAAAAUUAUUAGACUAGAAUUAUUUGUAACCCUUCUUUUAGCAGAAUGAACAUGUAUUUUGUGUUUUGC